rnacentral:rRNA from 1 species
GSGGUAGAGUUWGAUCAUGGUWCAGGMMCGAACGYKGRCGGCGUKCCUAAUACAUGCAAGUCGAGCGGACAGAAGGGAGCUUGCUCCCGGAUGUUAGCGGCGGACGGGUGAGUAACACGUGGGUAACCUGCCUGUAMGASUGGGAUAACUCCGGGAAACCGGAGCUAAUACCGGAUAGUUCCUUGAACCGCAUGGUUCAAGGAUGAAAGACGGUUUCGGCUGUCACUUACAGAUGGACCCGCGGCGCAUUAGCUAGUUGGUGAGGUAACGGCUCACCAAGGCRACGAUGCGUAGCCGACCUGAGAGGGUGAUCGGCCACACUGGGACUGAGACACGGCCCAGACUCCUACGGGAGGCAGCAGUAGGGAAUCUUCCGCAAUGGACGAAAGUCUGACGGAGCAACGCCGCGUGAGUGAUGAAGGUUUUCGGAUCGUAAAGCUCUGUUGUUAGGGAAGAACAAGUGCAAGAGUAACUGCUUGCACCUUGACGGUACCUAACCAGAAAGCCACGGCUAACUACGUGCCAGCAGCCGCGGUAAUACGUAGGUGGCAAGCGUUGUCCGGAAUUAUUGGGCGUAAAGGGCUCGCAGGCGGUUUCUUAAGUCUGAUGUGAAAGCCCCCGGCUCAACCGGGGAGGGUCAUUGGAAACUGGGAAACUUGAGUGCAGAAGAGGAGAGUGGAAUUCCACGUGUAWCGGUGAAAUGCGUAGAGAUGUGGAGGAACACCAGUGGCGAAGGCGACUCUCUGGUCUGUAACUGACGCUGAGGAGCGAAAGCGUGGGGAGCGAACAGGAUUAGAUACCCUGGUAGUCCACGCCGUAAACGAUGAGUGCUAAGUGUUAGGGGGUUUCCGCCCCUUAGUGCUGCAGCUAACGCAUUAAGCAYUCCCGCYKGGAGU